UCGGCGGACGGGUGAGUAACGUGUGGGUAACCUGCCUUUACUGGGGAAUAAUCACUGGAAACGGUGACUAAUACCGCAUAAUAUUCUUAGGAGGCAUCUUCUGAGAAGGAAAGGAGAAAUUCGGUAAAAGAUGGGCCCGCAUCUGAUUAGCUAGUUGGUGAGAUAACAGCCCACCAAGGCGACGAUCAGUAGCCGACCUGAGAGGGUGACCGGCCACAUUGGGACUGAGACACGGCCCAAACUCCUACGGAAGGCAGCAG
rnacentral:rRNA from 1 species